GAUGAACGCUGGCGGCGUGCCUAAUACAUGCAAGUCGAGCGAACAGACGAGGAGCUUGCUCCUCUGACGUUAGCGGCGGACGGGUGAGUAACACGUGGAUAACCUACCUAUAAGACUGGGAUAACUUCGGGAAACCGGAGCUAAUACCGGAUAAUAUAUUGAACCGCAUGGUUCAAUAGUGAAAGACGGUUUUGCUGUCACUUAUAGAUGGAUCCGCGCCGCAUUAGCUAGUUGGUAAGGUAACGGCUUACCAAGGCAACGAUGCGUAGCCGACCUGAGAGGGUGAUCGGCCACACUGGAACGGAGACACGGUCCAGAGUCCUGCGGGAGGCAGCAGUAGGGAAUCUUACGCAAUGGGCGAAAGCCUGACGGAGCAACGCCGCGUGAGUGAUGAAAGUCUUCGGAUCGUAAAACUCUGUUAUUAGGGAAGAACAGCUGUGUAAGUAACUAUGCACGGCUUGACGGUACCUAAUCAGAAAGCAACGGCUAACUACGUG
rnacentral:rRNA from 1 species